GAUGAACGCUAGCGGCAGGCCUAAUACAUGCAAGUCGAACGGGAUCUGAGGGUAGCUUGCUACCCGAUUUGAGAGUGGCGCACGGGUGCGUAACGCGUGAGCAACCUACCCAUAUCAGGGGGAUAGCCCGAAGAAAUUCGGAUUAACACCGCAUAAUAAUACGCUAACACAUGUUGAUGUAUUUAAAUAUUUAUAGGAUAUGGAUGGGCUCGCGCGACAUUAGCUAGUUGGUAAGGUAACGGCUUACCAAGGCGACGAUGUCUAGGGGCUCUGGGAGGGAAAUACCCAAAACUGGUACUGAGACACGGACCAGACUCCUACGGGAGGCAGCAGUAAGGAAUAUUGGUCAAUGGGCGCAAGCCUGAACCAGCCAUGACGCGUGCAGGAUGACUGCCCUAUGGGUUGUAAACUGCUUUUGUUAGGGAAUAAACCUUCUUACGUGUAAGGAGCUGAAUGUACCUAAAGAAUAAGGAUCGGCUAACUCCGUGCCAGCCGCCGCAGUAA
rnacentral:rRNA from 1 species